UCAUCCUUUCCUCCACCUCUCUAAUAGUGAGUUUUGAGUGUUUGUUUAGUUGUCUUGCUCUCCCAAAAAUUUCUAACAUUUGGUAUCGAAGCCGGUGUGUUGAGAGACAACCAAACUUGGAGAAAAGAUAAAAAACACUAAUGGAACACCAUUCCAAGUUCCUAUGCUAACAAAAGAGAACUAUGGGAAUUGGUGUAUUCGAAUGAAGGCCUUGCUUGGUGCCUAUGAUGUUUGGGAACCGACAGAGUCUGGAGUUGAUGAAGCGGAAGAUGCCGCAGCUACAAAUAAGAAAGAUCAAAAGGCACUCACUCUCAUCCACCAAGGUUUGGAUGACAAGAUGUUCGAGAAGGUUGCAAAUGCGACAACCUCCGAGCAAGCAUGGGAAAUUCUUCAAACUUCCUUUAAAGGUUUGGACAAAGUGAAAAAGGUUCAUCUCCCGACCUUAAGAGGAGAGUUUGAAUCAUUGCAUGUAAAAGAAAAUGAAUCUGCUUCAGAUUACAUUUCAAAAGUUUUGGCUAUUGUCAAUCAAAUGAAAAGAUAUGGUGAAGAGUUGAAGGAUGAUAGGGUCGUUGCAAAAAUACUACGAUCCCUAGAUUCAAAAUUUGAUUAUAUUGUUGUUGCUAUUGAAGAGUCCAAAGACUUGGACACCAUGACCAUAGAUGAACUUUCGAGUUCUUUGCAAGCCUAUGAAGAAAAAUUGAAGAAACCGAAAGAAGAAUCGGUUGAAAAGGCAUUGCAAGCAAAACUUUCCUUCAAGGAGAAAGAUGAAAGGCGUGGUUCGCAGCAAAGAGGUCAUGGAAAUGGAAGAGGUUGUGGUAGAGGAGGAAGAGGUGGUAGUCAACCACCAAAUAGAGACAAUAAAAGCCAAGACUAUAGUCAAAGAAGAGGUCGUGGAAGAUGCAAAGGAUGGAGACAAAAUCAAGGAAGGUAUGACAAAUCGAAUGUUGAAUGUUAUACUUGUCAUAAAUUUGGACAUUUUCCCUGGGAAUGUAAAGAUAAUUCGGAGGAGAAAAACAACUUUGUGGAGAGCAAAAUGAAGACGAGGAUGCCACUCUACUUCUUGCAUCCAAAGGAGAAGAAAGUGUGGAAAAGAACAAAUGGUACCUUGACUCUGGUACAAGUAGUCAUAUUUGUGGAAAGAAAAAUUUAUUUGUGGAGAUUAAGGAGCUGAAUGGUGGCCCAAUCAUUUUUGGAGACUCUUCGCGAGUUCAAAUCAAAGGAAAAGGUACGAUUUUAAUUUGCUUAAAAGAUGAAAAUCAUCAACUAAUCUCCAAUGUUUUGUAUAUGCCGGAGAUGAAAAGUAAUAUUUUAAGUUUGGGACAACUUUUGGAGAAAAAUUAUGACAUUCAUUUGAAAGACAAAAAGUUGUAUAUGAGAGAUGAAAAGGGAAGAUUUUUAGCCAAAGUACUUAUGGCUAAUAAUAAAAUGUUCAUCUUAUAUCUUCAAAAUGAUAUUCCGAGGUGCUUGUUUUCAUGUGCCAAAGAUUCAUCUUGGGUUUGACAUAUGAGAUUUGGUCACUUGAAUUUUGAUAGCCUAAGGUUGAUGAAGAAGGAAAGCAUGGUGAAUGGAUUGCCAAUAAUUGAUCAUCCCAACCAACUUUGUAAAGGAUGUCUCUUUGGAAAGCAAGCAAGGAAAAGCUUUCAUAAAGAGUCUUUAACAAGAGCAAGAUGCCCUCUCGAGUUAAUUCACAUGGAUGUGUGCGGACCUAUCAAGCCAUCUUCACUUGGUAAAAGUAAUUUUUUUUACUUUUCAUUGAUGAUUUAUCUCGAAAAACUUGGGUUUAUUUUUUGAAGGCAAAAUCGGAGGUGUUUGAAAUCUUCAAAAAGUUUAAGAGCAUGGUGGAGAAGCAAAGUGGUUAUCAAAUUAAGUCACUUAGGUCCGAUAAUGGUGGGGAAUUCACUUCAAAUGAAUUCAAGAUUAUAUGUGAAAAAAUGGAAUUCGUCAUUACUUGACAGUUCCGAGAUCAACACAACAAAAUGGCAUCGUGGAGAAAAAGAAUCGAACUAUUCUCAACAUGGCGAGGAGUAUGUUGAAGAGCAAAAAUAUGCCAAAAGAGUUCUGGGCUGAAGCUGUUGCUUGUGCAGUGUACUUAUCAAAUCGGUUUCACACCAAAAGCAUUCGUGGAAAAACACCACAAGAAGCAUGGAGCGGUUUCAAGCCAAAACAUGCUCAUUUGUGAGUUUUUGGGAGCAUCGCAAUGCACAUGUGUCAGAUGAGAAGAGGUCUAAGCUUGAUGACAAAAGUGAGGGGUAUGUCUUCAUUGACUAUGAUCAAAGUUCUAAAGGUUAUAAAUUAUAUAACCCCAAAAAUGGCAAGGUCACCAUAAGUAGAGAUGUUGAGUUUGAUGAAGAUAAUGCUUGGGAGUGGAAAUCUAAAGAGCAAGAAUACUCUUUUAGUCCAUUCUUUGAAGAUGAUGAAGAAGAAGAUGGGGAGCAGGCUAUCACACCACCUUCAACACCUCCGCCGCAAGAUCAAGAAGUUGGGGAAUCAAGCUCAAGUUCAAGUGAAGCACCUCACAAGAGUAGAAGUCAAGGUGACUUGUAUGAAAAUACGGAAGCAGUAAGAAAUGACUUGUAUGAUCUUACUCAUUUUUGUUUGCUUGUGGACAGUGAGCCUCUAAGCUUUGAAGAUGCUUGCCAAAGUUCCACAUGGAGGGAUGCAAUGGAUGAAGAAAUCAAAGCUAUAAAAAAGAAUGAUACAUGGGAGUUGGUCACACUUCCAAAAGGCAAAAGCACCAUUAGAGUCAAAUGGGUGUACAAGCUAAAGAAGAAUUCCAAGGGAGAAAUAGAAAGGUACAAAGCAAGAUUGGUAGCUAAAGGCCGAUAUUGACUAUGAUGAAGUAUUUGCGCCAGUUGCUCGUUUGAAAACAAUUCGCUUUGUCAUUGCUUUGGCGGCACAAAAUCAAUGGAAAAUCCAUCAAAUGGAUGUGAAGUCAGCUUUCUUGAAUGGCAUAUUAGAGGAAGAGGUCUAUAUUGAUCAACCUUCGGGAUAUAAGGUUGAAGGACAAGAAGAUAAAGUCUUUAAAUUAAAGAAGGCUUUAUAUGGGUUGAAGCAAUCCCCACAAGCUUGGAAUAGUAUAAUUGAUAAAUAUUUCUAGCAAAUGGUUUUUCUAAGUGUCCACAUGAACAUGCUCUCUAUGUAAAGAUUGCUAAAAAUGGUGACAUCUUACUUGUUUGCUUUUAUGUAGAUGACUUGAUAUUUACAGAAAUAAUCCAAAGAUGUUUGAAGAAUUCAAGAAAGCAAUGGCUAGAGAAUUUGAGAUGACGGACAUUGGCCUAAUGUCCUACUAUCUUGGAAUUCAAGUAGCACAGAGGAAUGAUGUCAUUUUUAUUUUUCAAGGAGAGUAUGCAAAGGAAAUUCUCAAGAAAUUUAAGAUGGAGAAUUGCAAUCCCGUAAGCACCCCUGUUGAAUGUGGAGUUAAAACAUUCAAGCAUGGAGAUGGAGAUAGAGUCAAUCCCACAUUUUUCAAGAGUCUUAUUGGAAGCUUAAAGUAUUUGUCAUGUACAAGGCCGGAUAUUCUUUUUGGAGUUGGACUCCUGAGUCGCUUUAUGGAAACUCCUACUACCUCGCACUUAAAGGUAGCCAAAAGAAUACUUCGGUACAUCAAAGGUACGCUUGAUUAUGGAAUUCUUUGUUCAUCUUCUAAAGAAUCCAAGUUCGUGGGAUAUUGUGAUAGUGACUGGGAUGGUGAUAUUGAUGAUCGGAAAAGUACUCUUGGGUUUGUUUUCUUACUUGGAAAUUCUGCAUUUACAUGGAAUUCUAAGAAGCAACCAAUUGUGACUUUGUCAACUUGUGAAGCGGAGUAUGUAGCAGCUUGUUCGUGUGUUUGCCAUGCAAUUUGGCUGAAGAGCUUGUUGGAAGAACUUCACCAACCACAGAAGGAUGCUACAAAGUUUUUUUUUUGACAACAAAUCGGCUAUAGAUUUAGCCAAGAACCCGGUAUUUCAUGAAAGAAGCAAGCAUAUCAUUUUAUUAGAGAUUGCAUAUCUAAUAAAGUUGUGGAGCUUGAGCAUGUGAAGUCUUGAGAUCAAAUUGCGGAUAUUUUCACCAAACCUUUGAAGAUUGACGCCUUUCAAAAGUUAAGGAUGACACUUGGAGUAAUGAAACAAGUUUAAGGGGGAUGUUAAAAAUAGUAAUAAACUUGUUUCCAUUUGUCCACAAUUGUUUAGAUUUGUUUACAUUAAUUUAGUGUUUUCAUACAUAUAGUUAGAAAAGAGUGAGGUGUGGACAUGUGUGAACUAGUGUAGGCAUGUAUGGACUAGUGUGUACAUGUGGACUUAAUUAAUAUGUACACAUGAAGUUUAGGCUAGAUACAUGUAGGAGUUCUACUAUAAAUACCCAUGUAUGCUAGUCAUUUGGAGCAAGUGAAGUUGAAUAGAAAUCAUCCUUUCCUCCACCUCUCUAAUAGUGAGUUUUAAGUGUUUGUUUAGUUCUUGCUCUCCCAAAAAUUUCUAACAAAGUGCACAUAAUAUUUGUUAUAUAUGUUUGUUUGAUCGCAUAAUUAUUUUUGUAGUACAUUUCUAAUAUAAUGGCACUGAUGCGGAGCUAUAUUAUAGAUUACCCUGGGUACUACGAUUCUGCGGGCGUAAUUGUUAAUGUAAAGUUUUGUAAAUUUUGUAAUGGGAAUAUAUGAUGAACUUUUAAUUUUAGUAAAGUAGAAGAGAAAGAUAUUGAAGUUUUGAUAGAGGAGUAACAAGUCAAUUAGAAGAUUAUAAGCUAAAAGGCUGUUUUGUUUUUAUCGGCAUUGUGAUGUCGUGAUUGAGGUUUAUGACUGAAAUAACAAAUAUACAAAAAGGAAAGUGUUAACCAAUUCAUCAUACCCACUCAGAGGUUAUUUUUAAGGUUGCUCAGAAUAUCAGGCAUGUUCAACCAUUUGCACGAAGAUAAACUUACCAAACCAUGAGAGGUUAGGUAUGUUAAGGGUCUCCCAUAAAAUCCUAGCGGUGAAUUUUGUGGUGUUUAUUCCUUGAAGUUUUAGUGAGUUCAUCAUGGCUGGCAAAAGUAUAGUGAAUGUAAUACAUGCUUUUGUAGAGAGAUUUGCCAUUGAAAUAUUUCAUUAGGCAUUUGAACCAUAAGUCAGGCAUUCAGCUAUUUCUGUAAUUUAAUAGUAUUAGUUUAUUAUUUUAUUGAAUAUUAUUUUCUACUGACUUUAUUUUAUAUUCCUUCAAAAAAGUUACUAAUUCAUAGUUAUUGCUUCUAAAAUUUCCUUGCUAUGUCCUUCACCGUCAGAGUCUGAGGAUCAAACAAGACAAAUAACAUGAUCUCUCCCCUCUCCCCUACUACAAUGUCC
rnacentral:lncRNA from 1 species